rnacentral:rRNA from 1 species
GACGAACGCUGGCGGCGUGCUUAACACAUGCAAGUCGAACGGAAAGGCCCUGCUUUUGUGGGGUGCUCGAGUGGCGAACGGGUGAGUAACACGUGAGUAACCUGCCCUUGACUUUGGGAUAGCUUCAGGAAACUGGGGCUAAUACCGGAUAGGAGCUCCUGCUGCAUGGUGGGGGUUGGAAAGUUUCGGCGGUUGGGGAUGAACUCGCGGCUUAUCAGCUUGUUGGUGGGGUAGUGGCUUACCAAGGCUUUGACGGGUAGCCGGCCUGAGAGGGUGACCGGCCACAUUGGGACUGAGAUACGGCCCAGACUCCUACGGGAGGCAGCAGUGGGGAAUAUUGCACAAUGGGCGGAAGCCUGAUGCAGCAACGCCGCGUGCGGGAUGACGGCCUUCGGGUUGUAAACCGCUUUCGCCUGUGACGAAGCGUGAGUGACGGUAAUGGGUAAAGAAGCACCGGCUAACUACGUG